CAGAAGCAUUCUUGAUACUCAUCAUAAUAUCUGGUCUGCAAGAGACUCUGUAACAUAGAUUUUCUAUAAGGCAAACAAGUAGCCUCUUAAGGACCCCUUUUAUGAGUAUGACUUUCACUUUCUACAGGUGUGCACAGUGUAAACAGCUGUGACUUUAUGCUGCAACCAAUCACAAACUGGCGGGGAGAGCUGGAGGUGCAGACUCUCAUGGGAAGCAGCAGGUGCUGCAGUGCACCUGUGGCCAGUUGGCUGUAGUACAGAGGCACACAGUGUAUUGUUUACCACUUGAUUCUUUCACUGCUGCUUACAUGCAAGUUGCCAGAGCCUAUUGGAAAUCUGGAAAAAAUAAUAAAAAAAGGAUGCUUAUAUCAUGUGAAACAGAGACAGAUGAUAGACAUAACUACUGAGAAGAAAACAUAGUUUCUCUAAGUCUUGGGAAGCUACAGAGCAUAUUUGCAUUCUCUGCAUAAAGGGCUAUGAUGUGCGGCCUCACAAACUGCAUACCAAGACCUGUUUGUUCACAUAAACAAGAUGGAAAUCAGUGAGAUGCUGACCUCAUUUAUUCCCCUGGAACAGAAACAGGAGGGACAACUGGGUUACUUCACCUUGAGAAAAUGUCAGGUGCCUCUGACAUGAAGAUUCUAAGAAUGGAGUCAAAAGAACCAGUACUUUCCCCAAAGAAAAGAGGAAUGGGGGAAAAGUGUGUCCAAAGUAUACGACUUCUAUAUUUAUUUGACAGAGAACCUACCUGCUGCUCUGAAAGCAUUUUAUUAAACUGUUCUAUGAACUUCCUUCUGUGGAAAUUUCUGAGUAAAAAGUGUCAUGAUAAUGGAACAGUAUUUCUUCUCCCAACUUGUGCGUUAUCUGUUUCCAAUUCUAGAUAAUAUCUUGCUGUUUUUUACAGAAUAGGUGGUGAUUUCCUAACACUCAGCAAAAUAAAAGUGGAUGAUGAGAUGUACAAAGCCAGUCCUUUUAUCUAUUCAGUUUUGUCAUAUGAACUCCAGCCUGCUCAUGCCUACCUUGAAGGGUGGGAGGGGAUUUACAGUAAUUCUCACUCAUUCUCUUUUCAUCUUACCCUUUAUAACAAAUAAUCUUUUGCUAAAUUAUGCAAGGAUACAUGCCUUUCUCCUUCUGUCUGGCACUCCACACUAACAAUUUUCAGGAAAUAGCUAGAUCAUGCAGAAAAAAAAUCAGGGAAACAAAAGUACAAUUUGAAGUUAAUUUGGCCAGUUCUGUCAGGGAUAAUAAAAAGUCCUUCUUCAAAUAUGUUAAUAACAAAAGGAGGGGCAAGGAAAACCUCCAUUCUCUGUUGGACUCUGAGGGAAAUGUAGUUAACAAAGAUGAGGAGGGAGCUGAGGUACUUAAUACCUACUUUGCCUCAGUUUUUACCAGUUAAACAGGUGGCCCUCAGGACAACUCAUCUCUGGAGGUGGUUGACAGAGGCAGGAAGCCAAA